rnacentral:ribozyme from 1 species
GCCAAAAAAAGUAAUUUCUAUAAACCAAGAGACUACCGUAGUCGCAUUAUCCUUCUUCCCUUUUUUCUCCUCUUCUUUUUUUUUUCUUUUGUCUU